rnacentral:lncRNA from 1 species
CAAAUGUAAAGUAACAGGAUCCAAGGUCAUUCGUGUAUAUCUUGGACAUUCCUCAUUUCCAAAUGAAGUUAUUUCCCUACAUGUGCUCGUAGAAUUAUUUCUUAGCAAAUCAUUGUUCAACUUUGUGAUUAAAAAUGAUAUUUCCAGCAUUUUUCUUUACAAUCAUUGCUCCCGAAGCAGAGGUUACCCUAAAAAGUCUCUUAUAAG